ACUUGGUCGGAGGACGGGUUGGCUGCAGCCAGAGCUGUAGUACAGAAUGACGUUGCCUGAUCACAAUGGGUCCCUCCCCCCUGUCGAAACCCCACACUGUGAUAAGCCUCCGGGUAUAAGUGUUGGGUCCGUGGCAACAGCUGCCCCAGUAUACACCUGCACACACAGCAUACCUGCAGUCACGACAGCACAUCUGUUUACCUAUCUCGGGUCAAGUGCCGAAGAAACAGUAGAGGCCGGUGGUCCAGGCUCUUGUGUACACCUCAGGUGUGCAACGUCAGGUGUGCAGCUCGUGCAACAUGUUCAAGCGCAGUCUUCUCAUCAUUGCCCUGGUGGUGGUGUGCGCCGUUGGGAUUCUCCAGCAAGACUCCUAUCAACCCGACUGUAAUGGGAAUUAUCCUCUAGACAAAGUAGCUGAUCCCAUGAACUGUGCCAACUAUUACAUCUGUAUUGAUGAUGGUAUUCCUUCGGACCACGCUGUUCCCUGCCCAAAUGACAAUUAUUUUGAUUCAGAAAUACUUGACUGUGCCCCCAUGCCUGAUGACGGUUGUUGAAGCUACCUGCAAGCCUACUGACUGCCACAUCACCUGCAACAGCUUCUUCAGCUUGAUCAGUGAUGCAUUCGAUUAUGGUAAAUAUUAUAUUUGUAUUGGAGGAGCUCCAGACUUAACAGUUAUCUGUACCUCUGACGCGCCCUUCUUCAACGGUGAGAACUGUGUCAGUGACGAGGAAGUUUGUUGCACAGUCUAUUGUGUUCCUUACUGUCAGCCAGGGAUUGUGCAGUCCCCAAACCCCACAGACUGCACCAAGUACUACAUAUGCACUCAGGAGGGACCAGUGGACUCAAGCUUGCACUUUCCUUGUAAUAGCGGACACAUUUUGACUACAAAACUGGUCGAUGUGUCUCAGGUACUUCCUGUACUAACUUAUGCCUUUCCACAUCUUAUUAACCGCGUCGCUGUCGGGAACUUCAAUAACCACUACAACCACAUCAAUAACCACCGCUAUUACUAACAUAAAUUACCAAUUCUUGAGAGUGAAGAUUUCCUUCGUUACACUACUUGCUGGCUGUCUCCAAUGUGCUCAUGCAGGCGAUGAGUCACAAUAACGUGGCUGAAGUAUGUUGCCUAGGCCACACAUUAGCAAGUGAAGGGACGACGACGUUUCAGACCGUCCUGGACCGACGACCGAAACGUCGUCGUCCCUUCACUUUCUAGUGUGUGGUCUGGUCAACAACCUCCAAUGUGCUUACUUUAUUAGCGGGAAUGUGAUCAGUCCGCCGGAUAAUACACUGUACCAGAAUUGAUGUCAAUGAAUAUGAAAAUCUCUGCUUAUUCAUUGUUUAAUUGAUUUGCAUUAGCCAAGAAAUCCUUAAAUUUUGAUAAAGUGAAUUUAUCCAGGACUGAAUUAUCUAUAUUUUCAUCUUGGUUCUGUAUAAUGCAAUGUAUUAUAUAAAUGAAAUCAUAAUGUUAUGCUUGUAAAAUAUAAUGACAAUAAAUAUUAUUGCAACGUA